rnacentral:rRNA from 1 species
UACGUAGGGGGCAAGCGUUGUCCGGAAUCAUUGGGCGUAAAGAGCGUGUAGGCGGUUCAGUAAGUCUGCUGUGAAAGUCCAGGGCUCAACCCUGGGAUGCCGGUGGAUACUGCUGGGCUAGAGUACGGAAGAGGCGAGUGGAAUUCCCGGUGUAGCGGUGAAAUGCGCAGAUAUCGGGAGGAACACCAGUAGCGAAGGCGGCACUCUGGGCCGGUACUGACGCUGAGGAGCGAAAGCGUGGGGAGCGAACAGG